UACGAAUAACCAAUUGCCAAUAAUUGUUCAUUAGCGCACAAUCAGUUAUGCACUAUUACAAUAUUGCAUGUAUAGCCCUCUACGCCAUAUUACACUUUUUUAAUAUUUAUUAAUUGGGUUCGUAUUAUUCGUAUCGUGUUCGCUAUUGUCUGCUUGACGUUCCUACAGAUUGUAAAUAAUUGUAUUGCAUCAGGUUGCAGAUUUAGAAGAACCAAUUUACCCUGGCCAAAUUAUCAAAAAUGUUUUAAAGUAUUAAGAGUCAUUGAGGAUAAUUUUUUUACAAGAAGCUGAAAGUGGAGUGCUCAAGUUGUGUCGAUACAAAGUGUUACAAGGUGGAUUCACGUUCAAACUCUAAUAUAAGAAAACAUUUAAGCUUUUGAACCGACGACGCCGCGGGGACUGCUUGCGCAUUGCUUCCGCGACGCCGCCAUCGUUUAUUUUGAAAAACAGGACAAAUAAUUAUACAUACGUGGGGGCAUUCAAGACAGUCUCCGUAGUACCCCCAGACAUAGUCCUACGUUAUAUAUUAAAAAAAAUAUACAUGAUACGUGAGAGUUUACAUUUCGGUGGACGUGGUCUUCCCAGGCGAACAUAAACACUUCAAAGAGAUGCAAUGAUGGAUCAUUGAAGCAUAAUGCUUUUAGUUCUUUAGAACAACCAGUUUUAGAAGAUGUUUUGAAGAACAAAAAAUUUACUAGUCAAAUUGCAGCAUCAACAAAAGUUGUUGAUAUUUACAUGACUGCAUGACUAUAUACUGAUACAUUGCUAGUGAACGAUACGGUUGUUAAUGAUUUAGAAGAAAUCGACACAUUC